rnacentral:tRNA from 1 species
GGUUUGUAGCUCAGUGGUAAAGCGCUUGUCUCACACACAUGAAGCACUGGGUUCGAUCCUCAGCACCA